AGCAGUCGCCACGGUAAUACAGAGGGUGCGAGCGUUAAUCGGAUUUACUGGGCGUAAAGCGUGCGUAGGCGGCUUCUUAAGUCGGAUGUGAACUCCCUGAGCUUAACUUAGGAAUUGCAUUCGAUACUGGGAAGCUAGAGUAUGGGAGAGGAUGGUAGAAUUCCAGGUGUAGCGGUGAAAUGCGUAGAGAUCUGGAGGAAUACCGAUGGCGAAGGCAGCCAUCUGGCCUAAUACUGACGCUGAGGUACGAAAGCAUGGGGAGCAAACAGGAUUAGAUACCCCCGUAGUCCCUGUCUCUUAUAA
rnacentral:rRNA from 1 species